rnacentral:lncRNA from 1 species
GAUAAAAAAAUAAAUUUGAAACAAUAAAUAAAAGAUACAAUGAGUUUAGACAUUCAUAUUGUAAUUAUUAAUGAUUUAAAUAAGUUUAUGAUUCUAAGUAUAGCAAGAAAAAUUAAUUCAGUUAAAAGUUGAGAUUUAUUUAGUUAAAAUUAUGUUAACAAUAGAAAUUUAUUUCUAAAUAUAAUAACAAAUUCACAAAUUAGAUAAAAAUCAAAAAUCCAGGUCAAUAGACCUCUCAGCGCAUCCAAACCUUCCACUCAAUGCCAAAAAAAAAAAAAAAAAAAAAAAUCUAUCAUUUAUUUUGCAAAUUUAGAAUAAUUUGCAACUAAUAUCUUCCGAAAUGUCUUCAUCAACAACUGUUGAACUGAGUGGAAUAAUAUUGAACCAAAAUCUUUAUUCUUAGGACAUUUGAAAUUUUAAAUUUAUAAUGCCCUAUUAGAAGAAGACUCGUUCCUUUCAAUUAUAACCUUCAACCUCAUCUCCUUCAUCCAAAGAAUCUUUCACAGAAGUAUGAAUAGUUUUCUCAUGAUUGUGCUCUUUAUCUUCGACACUGCCUUUAGUAUUCUCAUGGCGUCCAGCUUCGAUGGUUGGAAUGAGAACAAGGUUGAAGAUAAUCAGGAAUAGGAUAAAGCAAUGGCAUGGCUUCAGUUUUGUAGCCAUUAGUUAAUGUAAAUAUAAAAUAUAAAAAUUUGGGUUUGUUUAAAAAGGUUAAAGAAGUUAAUUUUUUAUAUAGAGAUUACAAUCACAGUUUG